rnacentral:rRNA from 1 species
UACGGAGGAGGCAAGCGUUAUCCGGAAUUAUUGGGCGUAAAGCGUCCGUAGGUGGCUCUUCAAGUCUGUCGUCAAAGACUGGGGCUUAACCCUGGAAAGGCGGUGGAAACUGAAGCGCUAGAGUGCGGUAGGGGUAGAGGGAAUUCCCGGUGUAGCGGUGAAAUGCGUAGAGAUCGGGAAGAACAUCGGUGGCGAAAGCGCUCUACUGGACCGCAACUGACACUCAGGGACGAAAGCUAGGGGAGCGAAUGGG